ensembl:miRNA
UUCUAAGGUUGGUGCAAAAGUAAUUGUGGUUUUUGCUAUUACUUUUAAAUGGGAAAAACCACAAUUACUUUUGCACCAACCAAAUAUU